AAGUCACCUGCUCCUCAGAUCAGAAGGUGAUUGUGGCUUUGAGUAGAUAUUAAGCAGCCACAGCACUGCCUGGUCAGAAAGAGCAAGUGUACUAGCC
ensembl:miRNA